rnacentral:piRNA from 1 species
UUUACGAUGGUAAUAAUUGUU